UCGGAACGUGUCCUGUAGUGGGGGAUAGCCCGGCGAAAGCCGGAUUAAUACCGCAUACGCUCUACGGAGGAAAGGGGGGGAUCUUAGGACCUCCCGCUACAGGGGCGGCCGAUGGCAGAUUAGCUAGUUGGUGGGGUAAAGGCCUACCAAGGCGACGAUCUGUAGCUGGUCUGAGAGGACGACCAGCCACACUGGGACUGAGACACGGCCCAGACUCCUACGGGAGGCAGCAGUGGGGAAUUUUGGACAAUGGGGGCAACCCUGAUCCAGCAAUGCCGCGUGUGUGAAGAAGGCCUUCGGGUUGUAAAGCACUUUUGUCCGGAAAGAAAACGCCGUGGUUAAUACCCGUGGCGGAUGACGGUACCGGAAGAAUAAGCACCGGCUAACUACGUGCCAGCAGCCGCGGUAAUACGUAGGGUGCAAGCGUUAAUCGGAAUUACUGGGCGUAAAGCGUGCGCAGGCGGUCCGCUAAGACAGAUGUGAAAUCCCCGGGCUUAACC
rnacentral:rRNA from 1 species